UACGGGGGGGGGCAAGCGUUGUUCGGAAUUACUGGGCGUAAAGGGCUCGUAGGCGGCCAACUAAGUCAGACGUGAAAUCCCACGGCUCAACCGUGGAAGUGCACCCGAAACUGCGUAGCUAGAGUCCUGGAGAGGAAGGUGGAAUGCUUGGUGUAGAGGUGAAAUUCGUAGAUAUCAAGCGGAAACACCGGUGGCGAAGGCGGCCUUCUGGACAGUGACUGACGCUGAGAUGCGAAAGCGUGGGGAGCAAACAGGG
rnacentral:rRNA from 1 species